rnacentral:misc_RNA from 1 species
ACACCCAUCAAGCCUGGCUUGGUAUUGGGCGACGGGACCUCCCCGCGCCCCGAUUUCGCCGGCUGGACGACCCCGAUCUCUCAAGCGUUGUACAAUCUCGCUGGUGAGAGGGGCGGCCACGCCGUUAACCUUAAUCAAUUCA